rnacentral:rRNA from 1 species
UAACACGUAGGAGGCAAACGUUAUCCGGAUUUACUGGGCGUAAAGCGCGUGUAGGUGGUACUGUAAGUAGGGCGUGAAAGCUCCUGGCUCAACUGGGAGAGGCCGUUCUAAACUACAGAACUAGAGGAUGGUAGAGGGAGGUGGAAUUCCAGGUGUAGCGGUGGAAUGCGCAGAUAUCUGGAGGAACACCGGUGGCGAAGGCGGCCUCCUGGACCAUUCCUGACACUCAGACGCGAAAGCUAGGGUAGCAAACGGG